GGUCGCUUAGCUCAGUUGGUCGAGAGCGUCCGUUUCACACGCGGAAGGUCGGUGGUUCGAAUCCACCAGCGACCACGA
rnacentral:tRNA from 1 species